AUCAGAGUCAUCUUGAACCUGAAUCAUCAUCUUGAACAUCUGGAACCUGAAUCCCGCAAUCCCCAUCAGAGUCACUCUGAGACUCCAGCUGAGUCACAACAAUGUUGGUCAAAAAUUUUGUCCAUGCCUAAUAUGUAUAUAUUAUCGGUACCUUUCUCAACAAAUCUUGCCAUGAUAGGUUUUCUUUAUGGUCACCGUUAGUUGGAAACAACAUCUGCUAUAUUCAGUUUCCAUCAGUUUUGUGGUAAUCCCCCCACUGAAGCAAAUUGUCAUUGUUGUUGUCGUCAUCAUCAUCAUCUGCUUCAAUGUUUGUAUAAUUGCUUUUAAAUAUUAGCAAUUUGUUACCAUGUCUUUCAUUCUACAGGAUAAACAUACAGACUGCAUUUGAGUGUUCCUUCAAGGAUUUGAUUUCAGAGCCCUCAUCAGCCUGAUCACCGUUUUCCUGGUUGUGCUGUAAUUAAUUAAUUAACUAGACAAUUAUUUAUGGAGCAAUAUUGCUAUGCACAGUACUAUCCAGAAUUGCAAAGCAGAACCAUACAUUUGAAAACCCUUUGUAUGAACUAUGCAGCUUGUCAUUUCGGAUGCUAUGACUGUUGGAGCCAUACCAAAAUAAAGAUGAGUAAAAUCAGAAAAUGAGAGAAAUGAGUACAGGUAGGUUUAGCCAUUCUUUGUUUCAAGUAAUUUCUGCUAGAAAUUGAGAUUGCUUAUUUUAUUUAUUUAUUUACAGUAUUUUUAUUCCGCCCUUCUCAGCCCAAAGAGGACUCAGGGCAGAUCACAAUGUACAUAUGCAUGGCAAACAUUCAGUGCCAUUAGACAUAAGACACUCACAGACAAAGACACAGAGGUUAUUUAACAUUCUCCAGCUUCUGGCUUCAUGAGGGUAUGCUUGAUUCCGGCCACAGGGGGAGCUGCCGUUCACCGUCCACUUGUGACCCCGAGUCCUUGAUGGAGUGCUUCCUCAUUCCUUUUCUGCAUGCUGUUGGAAGUUUUUUAUGGUGUUGUAAAUUUGUUAAAUGAGCCUCCCCACAUAAAGUGGUACCUAUAUUUAUUUAUUAUUUAAACUUAUAUGCCGCCACUCCCCUAGGGCUCGGGGCGGCUUACAAGAAAGGCUAAAAUCUAACAAUUUAAAAACAUCUUUAAAAUAUCUUUAAAAAAUAAAUCUUAAAUCUUAUUUCCUACUCGACAGAUGCAACUGUCUUUGGGGCAGCAUAGAUCAACAGAAAUCUAGACUAUUAGUGGUUGGGAUCUCACUCCGACCCAGGCUGGCUUUGAACUCAUGACCUCUCGGUCAGUAGUGAUUUAUUGUAGCUGGCUACUAACCAGCUACGCCACAGCCCAGUCUUUAUUAUAUGUGAUUAUUAUAUGAUUAUGAAAUGUUAUGAUUCACAAGUGACUAGAACUCAAAAACAAAUAGAAAAAGCUUGUUGUAAAAAAUUAUUUUGUGGAAUUUUCACAAAAAAUAUAAUGAACUGCGAAACAU
rnacentral:lncRNA from 1 species